rnacentral:rRNA from 1 species
AUUGAACGCUGGCGGCAGGCCUAACACAUGCAAGUCGAACGAGUAGCGGACGGGUGAGUAAUGUCUGGGCAACUGCGCGAUGGAGGGGGAUAACUACUGGAAACGGUAGCUAAUACCGCAUACCAUCGGAUGUGCCCAGGUUGGAUUAGCUAGUAGGUGGGGUAACGGCUCACCUAGGCGACGAUCCCUAGCUGGUCUGCGAGGAUGACCAGCCACACUGGAACGGAGACACGGUCCAGACUCCUACGGGAGGCAGCAGUAGGGAAGAUUGCGCAAUGGGCGAAAGCCUGAUGGAGCCAUGCCGCGUGAAUGAAGAAGGCCUUCGGGUUGUAAAGUACUUUCAGCGAGGAGGCGGUACUCGCAGAGGAAGCACCGGCUAACUCCGUGCCAGCAGCCGCGGUAAUUC